UGCGCGCCCACACCGCACGCGCGCUCGCGAUCCUUUGCUACAUAACGCGAUACGACGCGCGCUCCCGCCAAACUUAGUGACCGUUGACGAGUGCCAGUGAUGUGACCCUUUGUGCAUAUUGCAUUAUUAUAAAGUUUUCUAUAACACCAUACGUGCCGUGGAUGUAAGAACAAAAGUGAAAUUCUAGAAUUCCAGAAUUCUUUCCAUGUAUGUCAUAAACAAAUAGUCGAAAAACAAAGGAUACUUGAGACGAGCGUUGCUUGCUUAGGUGCGAGUGACAGGUGGAACUGUGUGCAUUCGCCUGUCCACAUAUCGAGCUCUCUUCAAACAUUGAGAUCUGGAUGCUGUGAAAUUGAAGAUGAUAUAGACCGGUGUAAAACAUGCGAGGCGGCGCGUGCGGCGGGCGGCGCUAGUGUGCGCGGCGGCAGAGAUGCGCUCCAAGCAGCAGCCGCGGCCCUCCUACCGCUGGCUCGGCACCAACGAAAACG